rnacentral:rRNA from 1 species
UGGGCAACCUGCUCCAGACACAGGGAUAACCCCGGGAAACCGGGGCUAAUACCGGAUACUCCGGUCGAGCCGCAUGACUCGAUCGGGAAAGCUCCGACGGUCUGGGAUGGGCCCGCAGCCUAUCAGCUUGUUGGUGGGGUAACGGCCUACCAAGGCGACGACGGGUAGCUGGUCUGAGAGGACGACCAGCCACACUGGAACUGAGAUACGGUCCAGACUCCUACGGGAG